rnacentral:rRNA from 1 species
GACGAACGCUGGCGGCGUGCUUAACACAUGCAAGUCGAACGGAAAGGCCCUGCUUUUGUGGGGUGCUCGAGUGGCGAACGGGUGAGUAACACGUGAGUAACCUGCCCUUGACUUUGGGAUAACUUCAGGAAACUGGGGCUAAUACCGGAUAGGAGCUCCUGCUGCAUGGUGGGGGUUGGAAAGUUUCGGCGGUUGGGGAUGGACUCGCGGCUUAUCAGCUUGUUGGUGGGGUAGUGGCUUACCAAGGCUUUGACGGGUAGCCGGCCUGAGAGGGUGACCGGCCACAUUGGGACUGAGAUACGGCCCAGACUCCUACGGGAGGCAGCAGGGGGGAAUAUUGCACAAUGGGCGGAAGCCUGAUGCAGCAACGCCGCGUGCGGGAGGACGGCCUUCGGGUUGUAAACCGCUUUCGCCUGUGACGAAGCGUGAGUGACGGGAAUGGGGAAAGAAGCACCGGCUAACUACGU